rnacentral:tRNA from 1 species
GCCCCGUUCGUCUAGCGGCCUAGGACACCGCCCUCUCACGGCGGCGGCACCGGUUCAAAUCCGGUACGGGGUACCA